UGACUGCUACGUCGCCAGCGCCUGCAGCAGAUAAAGCUGAAGAUAUUCGAGGGAGUUUGGAUCCCAAGUUCCCCAGUGUUGUUAAAAUUAUGAUCCGAUCAAGUGUUUCUGGGGGGUUUUGGCUGGGACUUCCCUCAUUAUUUUGUUCUCCGAGUCUACCAAAGAAGGAUACAAAGUUUACCUUGGUGGAUGAGGAUGUUCUUCCGUUGCUUGGUGAAGGGAGAUGCCUUGGUGUUUCAUUUAGUCGAGCCUAGCAAAUUUAAGGUAUACAUAGUAAGGGCACACUCUUCGG